rnacentral:rRNA from 1 species
AACAAACGCUGGCGGCGUGCCUAACACAUGCAAGUCGUACGAGAAAGGGUCCUUCGGGGCCUGAGUAAAGUGGCGCACGGGCGAGUAACGCGUGGAUAAUCUGCCCUUCAGUUGGGAAUAACUCAUCGAAAGGUGGGCUAAUACCGAAUAAUGCUGUGAGACCUCGGUUGAUCAGCCAAAGAGAGCCUCUGCUUGCAAGCCCUCGCUUAAGGAUGAGUCCGCGUACCAUUAGCUAGUUGGUAGGGUAAUGGCCUACCAAGGCGACGAUGGUUAGCUGGUCUGAGAGGAUGAUGAGCCACACUGGAACUGAGACACGGUCCAGACGCCUACGGGAGGCAGCAGUGAGGAAUCUUGCGCAAUGGGGGCAACCCUGACGCAGCAACGCCGCGUGAGUGAGGAAGGUCUUCGGAUCGUAAAGCUCUGUCGGAUGGAAAGAACCGCCUAGGGGUAAACAGCCCCUGUGUCUGACGGUACCAUCAAAGGAAGCACCGGCUAACUCCGUGCCAGCAGCCGCCGUAACAC